CCUACGGGAGGCAGCAGUGGGGGAUAUUGCACAAUGGGGGAAACCCUGAUGCAGCGACGCCGCGUGAGUGAAGAAGUAUUUCGGUAUGUAAAGCUCUAUCAGCAGGGAAGAAAAUGACAGUACCUGACCAAGAAGCCCCGGCUAACUACGUGCCAGCAGCCGCGGUAAUACGUAGGGGGCAAGCGUUAUCCGUAUUUACUGGGUGUAAAGGGAGCGUAGACGGUUAGGUAAGUCUGGAGUGAAAGUCCGGGGCCCAACCGCGGAACUGCAUUGGAAACUGUGUAACUGGAGUACAGGUGAGGCAGGCGGAAUUCGUGGUGUAGCGGUGAAAUGCGUAGAUAUCAGGAGGAACUCCGGCGGCGAAGGCAGCCUACUAGACUGAAACUGACGUUGAGGCUCGAAAGCGUGGGGAGCAAACAGGAUUAGAUACCCGGGUAGUC
rnacentral:rRNA from 1 species